AGAGUUUGAUCCUGGCUCAGAGCGAACGCUGGCGGCAGGCCUAAAACAUGCAAGUCGAACGCCGUAGCAAUACGGAGUGGCAGACGGGUGAGUAACACGUGGGAACGUGCCUUUUGGUUCGGAACAACACAGGGAAACUUGUGCUAAUACCGAAUAAGCCCUUACGGGGAAAGAUUUAUCGCCAAAAGAUCGGCCCGCGUCUGAUUAGCUAGUUGGUGGGGUAACGGCCCACCAAGGCUACGAUCAGUAGCUGGUCUGAGAGGAUGAUCAGCCACACUGGGACUGAGACACGGCCCAGACUCCUACGGGAGGCAGCAGUUAGGAAUCUUGGACAAUGGGCGCAAGCCUGAUCCAGCCAUGCCGCGUGAGUGAUGAAGGCCUUAGGGUUGUAAAGCUCUUUCAGCGGGGAAGA
rnacentral:rRNA from 1 species